CCCUUAGACGUUCUGGGCCGCACGCGCGCUACACUGACGAAGGCAACGAGCUACUCUUCACCGAAAGGUGUGGGUAAUCUUUUGAAACUUCGUCGUGCUGGGGAUAGAUCCUUGCAAUUUUUGAUCUUAAACGAGGAAUUCCUAGUAAGCGCAAGUCAUCAACUUGCGUUGAUUACGUCCCUGCCCUUUGUACACACCGCCCGUCGCUCCUACCGAUGGGUGAUCCGGUGAAUGAUUCGGACUUCAGCGGCUCCCCUGGGGUGCGCCGGAGAAAGUUUUGUGAACCUUAUCACUUGGAGGAAGGAGAAGUCGUAACA
rnacentral:rRNA from 1 species